rnacentral:siRNA from 1 species
GUGUAUGGAGUUGAGGUUUUGGU